AUGCAGCAGUCAUCUGAUGCAAUAGUUCAUUUCCAUGGCUACGAACUUUGCUUUGGUUUGUUUGAUCUUGGACUCCAGAUCCGUGUGAGUGCAUGUGUUUCACAACUCAACCUGGAAGGAAAAAAAAAUCAGAGGAAGAGCCACUUGGCAGGAGGUGCACCUUGUUUGCCACACGCCACAGAAUGCCAGUGGGAAAGAUGUCAACGGAGAUCAAAAUGACAGAUGUUACACAUUCUCCCAGGUGCUGCUAGACAUAAACAUUGUUUCCUCCUCACCCCCUACUCACUACUUCUUCUUUGAAGUAUCUCUACCAAACUGUCAACCCAAACUCAGGAGAAAAAAAAUUAGAGAAGUACAAAUUCUGAAUGUACUUAAUGUUGUAACGAUUAUCAUUUCAGGACCAGAAUUUCCUCGUCUUGGCCUACACGUGUUUUCAUGAUCAGAACAAGAGGAACAUUUGUCAUUUUUCUACUUAAUGACUUAAACAGAAUCGGCCCUUUCCAGAAUCUCCUACUACAAAAGCAACAAACCUAAUACAAAGCCAGCUCUCUUCCCCCGGCCUCCCUCAUCUCCAAAGCCAUAGUGGAAAUUGCAAGCGGUACUUAAAGAUGGGGUUUUCAAAAAAGAAGUAUUGACGAACGCUAAGUUAAGUCAGCUAUAGAGCAAAACAAAUUUAAUUUGUCCACGGCUGAAAACAACUAACUGUGGACAAAUUUAUCGAAUUGUUUCUUGACUAAGGGAUCCCUAUUCUGAGCCAACAAUUAGAACUGGUAGGUUUCUUAGAAAGGAUGAUACUCAAGGAUCUCUUAGUAGCAAGCCUUUUGGGGAAAAAGAGGGAAGUGCAUUUAGCAAGAGAAGGAAAGGAAUGGUAUAUACUAUUUUGAUCAUGUUUUAUAUGUGCAGAUUGUUUGAUUCCAAUUAAGACCUAAGAAGGGAUGCCUGGCUGGCUUGGUGUGUAGAGCAUGCGACUCUUGAUCUUGGGGUUGUGAGUCUGGGCCUUUUGUGGCAUGUAGAGAUCACUGAAAAAAUUGGAAAAAAAAAAAAGAGUAAUAGGGAAAGAGCAUUUUGUAAUAUUUGACAUCAAAUCACUAUGUCGUACACCUGUAGCUAAUGUAAUAUGUCAACUAUACUUAAAUAAAACAAAUAGUAGGGGAAAAAUCUAAUAAAUCUAAACAGAUACAAUAAACAGCACACACACACAACUCCUGAGAUACACUGUAUUUUCAUUACUUGUCAUUAAGUGGGUAUAGUAGGAGAAUAAUGGCCUCCAAAGGUGCCCACAUUCUAAUCCCUAGAAUGUGUGACUACUGUAGAUUACCCAACAAGGAAGAAUUAAGAUGGCAGAUGGAAUUAAGGUUGCUAAUUAACUGAGUCUGGUGUGGGGAGAUUAUCCUGGAUUAUCCGCGUGGGCACAAAAUAAUCACAAGAGUCCUUGAAAGUGGAAGCAGGAGGCAGAGCUGAGUCAGUGUCAGAGGUGUGCAGCAUGAGAAAGGCCCCGCUGGCCAUUGCUGCCUUUGAAGAUGCAAGGGCUCCAUGGACCAAGGAGUGUGGGCGGCCUCUGGAAUCUAGAAAAAGAAAGACAACAGAUUCUCCCCGAGAGCUUCCAGAGAGGAAUGCAGGCCUGCCAACACCCUGAUUUUAGCCCAGGGAGACCCAUUUCAGGCUUCUGACGCCAGAAGUCUAAGUCAGUAAAUUUGGGUUUCACUAAAUUUGAGAUAAUUCGUUACAGUAGCAAUAGGAAACCAGUGUAGCAGGUCAGUCAAGGAGAAGCAAAAUUCACUCAGGAGGUAACCUCUUC
rnacentral:lncRNA from 1 species